rnacentral:misc_RNA from 1 species
GCACAACAAGGGAUGCCACUGCAAAAGAACCGGUUGCCUCAUGAAGUACUGUGAGUGCUUUCAAGCAAACAUCAUAUGCUCUAAAAGUUGCAAAUGUGUUGACUGCAAGAAUUUGCAAGUAUGUGAGCAGCGGAUGCUUCAUUCUUGGGGAGGCUAUGGUAAUAGUAAAGCCUUUGUUGAGCUGACAAAUGCUGCUAUUUUUGCUGCUAUUGGAUGCUUAGGGUAUAGCUUCUCUCAAGAUUCCAGGAGGAGAAAAUUUCUGAACCCUUGAUUCAGAAAAGAAAUAUAAAGAAGCUCAGAAGCUUACACAAUAUCAACAGGUAAGUAAUUCUUCACAUCCUGAGUCUUGACUAGGGUCUUAUCUUGCUGUCUGGUUUGUAAGUUUUAAGUGGAUAUGCUCACUGAUCUUUUAGCAGUUAGCUUUGCAUCUAUGAGAAUGACAGUAUGGUAAUAUUGCCCCUAUCACUUGAACAGGCUUGAAUUUUUGUCAUUCCAUUUAUUUUUCUCCAUAAUAAUAUCUGUGAUUUGAUGCUCCACUUAUUUCAACUAUUAUGUUUUCUUGAAUGGGCAUGUAGUUUUGCUUUAUCCUUUGCUAUAUACUUUUUUUGUGGCUUAUUUUUUAGCUCCAAUUGACUUCAAAGAUAGCUUCACUUAUCCAUCUCUACCUAUAUUAAAUUGUAUAUUUUCUGGUCAGCAGUUAUAUCCUGUCAGAUUUCCUGGUUCAUUUCCUACCUUUCCAGUUGAUCAUUCUCACUCCCUUGUUAGUUCUGCAGCUUUUCACUCUUCAAAAUUUGCAUACAGAUCAUUGUUGGAGAUGUCAUUCAUCCUCUGGACAUGAGAGAGCUGUGCUCAUUUUUGGUGGUAGGAUCAGAAGCUGCCACAAUUCUUGCUGGUAUUGGUGCAUCUCCAGAAGAUAAGAAAUUCUGACAUAAUGCAUUAAAAUUUUGCUGUCUGGUUAAGAACUAAAAAGACGCAUGAAUAUGGUCAUAGGAUUGCUCUUCCACCCUCAAGCCCCCUCUUCCACCCUUAAGCCCCCUCUUCUAUCUUUUUGAAAUCUGUGUUCAGUUCGAUAAUUAACCAAUUGACUGUUUGCUUGCUCAAUUAAUUUGAUAAAAAUUAGAAGUUUGGCUUAUUUUAAACAGAAAAGUACUGGGUAUGUGUUUUUGUAUAAAUUACUUUUUGAUUAUUCUCUAAUUGCCCUCAAGAAUUUGUCUAAAUGAAUGAAGGGUAUAGCUGAAACUGCAAAAGAUUUUUAUUGUGUGUGUGUGUGAUUUUUUUUUUUUCCGUUGCUUUCUUUUUCCCUAGUUUCGAUUUUCUGUUAGUUGACAAUGAUAUAGUUUUCACCACAAAUAUUGUGCAUUUAUAUAAACUUAUUUCCAUGUUAGAUUACAUGAUCAGAAAAAUUUUUAUGAUGUAUUGUAGUGCAAAUGUUGUAUGUGCUAUGCACACAAUGGGAUUGUACAUAUUUGAAUUCUGCAUUAUUUAUUCUGAGACCAAAAAAAAAAAAAAGCUACAGCAGAAAUGCAGGAAGCAAAAGAAAACCAGAUUGCUAGUCAUCUUCCAGCCCAGGGUAGGAAAAACCAGGAGAAAGAACCUGUUUUUCGGAAAGUGGUGCCUGAUAACAACUGGAGUGGGAACCAAACUGAUAAUCUCAACAUAGAAGUUUCCAAAUCUGAUGGAAAUAAUGUGCAAGCAGGAAGGCAUUUUUCACCUCAGAGAGAUGAGUUGAUGUGAUAUGUGGAAGAAAAAUCAUUCAUGGAAGCUGCUUCUCCAGAACAAUAUCUGAAUCGUGGCUUCACUGGGGAUCUUUGUGUAGUGCAGAAAGGCUUGCUUUGACAUGUUUACUUGAUUGUCUUGCAAAGUUUAUCACUUUUGGAACUGUAAAAGAAAAUAAUUGUUUUUCAUCAGCUGGAUUUGUGACAGACAGUUUGAACUUUGCUGCAGCUGCGUUAUCAAAGCCAGAACUGAAAUCCGACUGAUAAGGCAGUAGCAAUUUUAGCCAAAAACACAUGGUGGAGGUAAUGCUAAAUAAUCUCCAAUUUCUAUUAAGGUUACCACCACAAUUUGUUGCAAUCCAAAAUAUAAAACAAUGCAGAUAUCCCGUGAAUGUUGAAUGCAUAAAACCAAAAAUUUGUAUAAUUUCUCACUUGCUAUAUUCCAGACUUAAAUCACUUCCAUUGUUUUGUUUCAAUGUAGUAAAAUGUUGGGAAGUUCAUCUCAUCUCUCUAUGUCCUGUUCUAUCAUUAGAAUUCAACCCAUAUUGCAGUCUUAAGGAAAAAGGCUGACGGAACAGGUAUCAGAUGAUGUACAAUUAUCCUGCGCUUCAAUAUGUAUAUAAGAAGCCAUUGGGCUAAUAGCCCAAUGGUCGAGAGAGGUUAGUAUUUCAAAUCAUGUGUGGCUGGAAGGCGA